rnacentral:rRNA from 1 species
UUUAACCUCUACACCUAAAUCUAUAUCUUAAUCCAACAUCGAGGUCGCAAUCAAUUUUAUCAAUUUGAACUCUCCAAAAUAAUUACGCUGUUAUCCCUAAAGUAUCUUAAUCUAAUGUCAUUAUUAAUGGAUCAUUAAUUCAUAAAUCACUGUUUAAUAAAAUAUAAAAGUUAAUUAAAUUUUACUAUCACCCCAAUAAAAUAAAUAAUUAAUUAAUAUUAAAUAAUUCCUAAUAAUAAUAAUUAAUUUAUUAUAAAGAUUUAUAGGGUCUUCUCGUCUUUUAAAUUAAUUUUAGCUUUUUUACUAAAAAAUAAAUUUUUAUUAUAAAUUAAUAUGAAACAGUUAAUAUUUCGUCCAACCAUUCAUUCUAGCCUUCAAUUAAAAGACAAUUUAUUAUGCUACCUUUGUACAGUCAAUAUACUGCAGCCUUUAAAUUAUUCAAUGGGCAGGUUAAACUUUUUAAAAAUACUCAAAAAGAGAUGUUUUU